rnacentral:rRNA from 1 species
UACGAAGGGUCCAAGCGUUAUCCGGAUUUAUUGGGUUUAAAGGGUGCGUAGGCGGCUUAUUAAGUCAGUGGUGAAAGACUUCAGCUUAACUGAAGAAUUGCCAUUGAUACUGAUGAGCUUGAAUGUAGUUGAGGUGGGCGGAAUGUGUCAUGUAGCGGUGAAAUGCUUAGAUAUGACACAGAACACCGAUUGCGAAGGCAGCUCGCUAAACUAUGAUUGACGCUGAGGCACGAAAGCGUGGGGAGCAAACAGG